AGUCGAACGGCAGCACGGGAGCAAUCCUGGUGGCGAGUGGCGAACGGGUGAGUAAUACAUCGGAACGUGCCCAAUCGUGGGGGAUAACGCAGCGAAAGCUGUGCUAAUACCGCAUACGAUCUACGGAUGAAAGCAGGGGACCGCAAGGCCUUGCGCGAGUGGAGCGGCCGAUGGCAGAUUAGGUAGUUGGUGAGGUAAAAGCUCACCAAGCCGACGAUCUGUAGCUGGUUUGAGAGAACGACCAGCCACACUGGGACUGAGACACGGCCCAGACUCCUACGGGAGGCAGCAGUGGGGAAUUUUGGACAAUGGGCGAAAGCCUGAUCCAGCAAUGCCGCGUGCAGGAAGAAGGCCUUCGGGUUGUAAACUGCUUUUGUACGGAACGAAACGGUCUGCCCUAAUACGGCGGGCUAAUGACGGUACCGUAAGAAUAAGCACCGGCUAACUACGUGCCAGCAGCCGCGGUAAU
rnacentral:rRNA from 1 species